rnacentral:lncRNA from 1 species
CUCCAUACAACAAAUAUAGUUGACCUAUUGCUUAUAGUUUAAGAAAAUAGACCAAAACACAAAAACUUAACACUGAGCAAUGAACCGUGAAAACCAGGUCAAGGUCAAAUAAAACCUGCACGACUGACAUAUAGAUCAUAAAAUAUUUCCAUACACCAAAUAUAGUUGACCUAUGACAUAUAGUAUUAGAUAAAAAGACCAAAACUCAAAAACUUAACUUUGACCACUGAACCAUGAAAAUGAGGUCAAGGUCAGAUGACAUCUGCCCACUAGACAUGUACAUCUUACAAUCAUUCCAUACAACAAAUAUAGUAAACCUAUUGCAUAAAGUAUGAGAAAAACAGACCAAAACACAAAAACUUAACUAUAACCACUGAACCAUGAAAAUGAGGUCAAGGUCAGAUGACAUCUGCCCGCUAGACAUGUACACCUUACAAUCAUUCCAUACAACAAAUAUAGUAAACCUAUUGCAUAAAGUAUGAGAAAAA